ACCCGGUUAGUGCAGUGGUUAGCACGCGGCUCUUAUACUCCUUUCGCUUGCGAAAUCAGAUAUGCCGAAACGCCAGUUCAAACCUGGCACUGGGUA